UCUGGUGGCCACAGCAGAGAGGAACCACCCGGUCCCAUUCCGAACCCGGAAGUGAAACUCUUUAGCGC
rnacentral:rRNA from 2 species